AGCAAAAGAACAGGCGGGUUUGCUGCUGCCCUGUCCUUCCCUCUUGCCCUGAAUGCUGGUGUGAUGCCUAACACAGCUGCAGCCACCUUGCCACCAUCAGGUGUUGAGCAGGAGGACAAAAUGCCAACAGGCUCAGGGUGGCAGAGUGGGAAGGGAGAAGGAACCCGGAAUUCUGACAGCAUCACUGAACAGGCAGACAGCCCAACACAAUCCUAAGCAACCCAAGUGGGAGAUUUCGGGCAGAGCGACCUUUGUGCAGUAAGUCGUGCCGGGGCCGGUGAGAGGCUCUCUGUGACUGGAGUGAAAGAGGCUGCAGGGGAAGGUCGGGGACAGAAUAUAAAAGGCCCACGUUGCCAUGCAAAGGAGUUCAAAGGAGAGGUUUCCAGAGCUUCAAACAAGGAAGUAAGAUGAUCAUAUUUGUGAUUUAGAAAAAUAACUGCAAGAAUCCUGUAAAGGGAGAAGUGUCACCCCUAAAGCCGCAGCAACGACCUGCAGACAGCGGCCCGCGCGGUCUGGCACGAUCCACAGCCUCAGCACAGUUGCCGUGUGAUGCGUGCUGAACUGAUUGAAAUGAAGUUACCCUAAUUAUUUUCAGGUGACACACACUGCUUCAAUCAACUGCUAAAGUGAUUCGCAAAAGUCGUGGGUGUGUCUCUGGCUCCGCCACUAAGUCAGCUGAUGACCUCGCCAUGUCACUUCCCUCUCUGGGCCUCGGCAUCCUCAUCUGCAAAGGAAAAGGUAGAACUUCGUCUCCCUUUCUGCAGCAGUCCUGUGACUGACUGCACACGGCAACCAGGAGAGGUGUCCUGGCUCCCUCCUCUUUACGCCCACAAAACAGGAAGGGGAAGUUGGUGGGACGCCUGAGCCGAGAAAAUGGCUCAGUAGCUGAUGCCCCACAAGCCUGAUUUAGGAAAGAAAAACUGCAGAUCAAAUAUACAUAUUUCUGUAGGUCUCAAAUUACCCACGUCCCAAUAUGGUUCUCUCUCUCCACAUAAAAUACAUGUAAGGUUGUGUUGUUGUUUACUCUUCCAACUAUUGUUUCAGAACCAAGGAUGAGGGGAGAAGGGAAAUCAGAUGUUUUCUCGCAAAGCCUUCAAAUAAAGAGUGAUCAAUUAGCUCCCCAAAUUAGGCACACACUGGGGA
rnacentral:lncRNA from 1 species